GUUUGAUGGCGACCGGCGCACGGGUGAGUAACACGUAUCCAACCUGCCGAUGACUCGGGGAUAGCCUUUCGAAAGAAAGAUUAAUACCCGAUGGCAUAGUUCUUCCGCAUGGUAGAACUAUUAAAGAAUUUCGGUCAUCGAUGGGGAUGCGUUCCAUUAGGUUGUUGGCGGGGUAACGGGCCCACCAAGCCUUCGAUGGAUAGGGGUUCUGAGAGGAAGGUCCCCCACAUUGGAACUGAGACACGGUCCAAACUCCUACGGGAGGCAGCAUG
rnacentral:rRNA from 1 species